rnacentral:rRNA from 1 species
GACAGAGGGUGCAAACGUUGUUCGGAAUUACUGGGCGUAAAGCGCGUGUAGGCGGCAGGGUGUGUCGGAUGUGAAGUCCCGUGGCUCAACCACGGAAGUGCACCCGAAACUACCCAGCUCGAGUCUCGGAGAGGAAGGUGGAAUGCUUGGUGUAGAGGUGAAAUUCGUAGAUAUCAAGCGGAACACCGGUGGCGAAGGCGGUCUUUGGACGAUGACUGACGCUGAGACGCGAAAGCGUGGGGAGCAAACAGG